rnacentral:lncRNA from 1 species
CCCUGCAUUCCAGUGUAUUUCUCACUAAAUGAUUAAUUUCCAAAAUUGCUUUCACCAACAUAUUGAGCAGAGCCUCCUGGGGUAGAUCCAGAACCACCCCCAAAAAGGAUGUCCUGACCAUCCUUUUAUUUGUUUAUUUUUAUUUCACAAAUAUCCUUUUAUUGACAAUUAUCAUCAUAAAACCAUCUCAUGAAACUCAUAAUUAAGCAAGAUUCUGCUCUGUGCCAUACGUGACAAGUGCUGACCAUCCUUUUAGGAAAAACCAAGUGGAUGAAGAAUUGCAAUUAUCCAAGCUAUGACACGCAGUUAUAGAAACAAGCCAGAGUGCUCAUUUGUCAAUAUCUAUGUGUUGGACAGACACUACAAAUGGACUGAUAGAGGAGGGAGAGAAUCUGGAAGUGAAAGUCAAAUAAAAGCAGUGAAAAAAGAAAUCACUGGUUGUAGAGUGACUGAUUGCUUGAAGGCCGGGUCUCCCCUGAAACCAGGGGCAGAGAGAGCUCUUCCCGUCAUCCCUGUGGAGGCUGCCUGACUGAUGGAGCAGGAGCUGCUUGGUGCCAGAGACACGGGCCGGCCCCCGGAUUGUUAUUUUCCAGAAAGGAUAUUGUGGAAACAGGUGAUGCUUUCGAUAUCCUCCCGGGCGGCUCUCAACCUCCGAGCUCUUGGACAGGUUCCGGCAGUUUGCGGUCUGCAGGUUUCACUUCGGUGCAAAGGAGAAAAGCGUUGAAAGUCUCAAAGGCAAACAAUAGCGAGAGCUCCUCUGAGCUCCCCGGAAGGGCAGCUCUGAUCUCUUCCAAGGGAGAGGGAACCGAGUCUGGGCUUCCCCCCCUCGGCUAGCUGCUGCUUCUCUUAUCCUCAAGCCAUUUUGCAGAAAGGAUGUGCGGCUCGAGGCGCUGCCGGUUCUCCCUCAGAUAAGUGAUUCCGGAAGCCUUUACUGUUUUCUGAGCCCGGAAUACCAACAGGCAAUUUGCAUAGGAGACAGAGAUAUGUGACGCCUGGAAGCUGCGGAAAAAAGCUGAGAGCGAGGAGAGAUUUAUUUUUUAAACCCUCAUCUUCCGUCUCCGAAUCAAUACUGUGUAUUGGUUCAGAGGCAAAAGAGCGAUAAGAGUAUGGCAACGGGGGUUAGGUGACUUGCCCAGAGUCACACGGCUAGGAAGUGUCCCAGGCCAGAUUUGAACAAUCUAGGAUCUCCCGUCUCUAGACCUGGCUCUCCAACCACUGAGCCACCCAUAUGCUCCCGAGAGGCGAGAUUUAAAAAAACGAACUCUUGGUGACUAGCUCGGUUCUUGGGUAGAAUCUGCUUUCGGCAGGUAAUGCCUGAUUCCAGCUGUUGCUUUUCGCAGCCGGGACAUCUGCACGCUGCUGCGGUCGCUCGCUUAACAAUGGUUAAUGUUUAGAAAGGUACAGAGUGUUCUGGUGAAGGACGCUGCUCAUUUCCUCUUCCCCCGCGGUGCCCUUGUUAUUGCAGACCUGAGAAGGAAGGGCUUUUUCGCCCUCUGAGAGCGGCGCCAGAGUCCCUCUCCAUGGAAGGU